CAGGGGGUAUUUUAUAUAAAAUAUUAGUUUUGGGGACUAGUGAAAUGGUUUUAACCUUUCCUCUGA
rnacentral:tRNA from 1 species